CAGGAAUGCGCUCAGGAAAUGUCUUAACUCAUCCAUGUCGAGCAACAAUUCAUUCAAUCGAGUGUCAAGAGAAAAGAAAAAAUGAAAAAUUCAUCCAGGUGGAGAAGUCCUUAUCAGCACAUUUAAUUGGCGUGACUAGCUUAUCUAAAGUUCAUCUGAGAAAUUUAAUCUACUGCCAUUGUUAAUAAAAGUACAGAUAUAAAGAAAUACAUAUAAAAUAACUGCACUCGCUAGCGGUUCUCCAAAUGGUUUUUGCUACCGCAUGUGUGAGAAGUAACCUUGUUCUAUGAAUUUCAAGG
rnacentral:misc_RNA from 1 species